UACGUAGGGUGCAAGCGUUAAUCGGAAUUACUGGGCGUAAAGCGUGCGCAGGCGGUUAUGCAAGACAGAUGUGAAAUCCCCGGGCUCAACCUGGGAACUGCAUUUGUGACUGCAUAGCUAGAGUACGGUAGAGGGGGGAUGGAAUUCUCGGUGUAGCAGUGAAAUGCGUAGAUAUCGAGAGGAACACCAGUGGCGAAGGCGAGUCCCUGGACACUUCCUGACACUGAGGCACGAAAGCUAGGGGAGCAAACAGG
rnacentral:rRNA from 1 species